UGAACGCUAGCUACAGGCUUAACACAUGCAAGUCGAGGGGCAGCAUGGUCUUAGCUUGCUAAGGCCGAUGGCGACCGGCGCACGGGUGAGUAACACGUAUCCAACCUGCCGUCUACUCUUGGACAGCCUUCUGAAAGGAAGAUUAAUACAAGAUGGCAUCAUGAGUCCGCAUGUUCACAUGAUUAAAGGUAUUCCGGUAGACGAUGGGGAUGCGUUCCAUUAGAUAGUAGGCGGGGUAACGGCCCACCUAGUCUUCGAUGGAUAGGGGUUCUGAGAGGAAGGUCCCCCACAUUGGAACUGAGACACGGUCCAAACUCCUACGGGAGGCAGCAGUGAGGAAUAUUGGUCAAUGGGCGAGAGCCUGAACCAGCCAAGUAGCGUGAAGGAUGACUGCCCUAUGGGUUGUAAACUUCUUUUAUAAAGGAAUAAAGUCGGGUAUGGAUACCCGUUUGCAUGUACUUUAUGAAUAAGGAUCGGCUAACUCCGUGCCAGCAGCCGCGGUAAUACGGAGGAUCCGAGCGUUAUCCGGAUUUAUUGGGUUUAAAGGGAGCGUAGAUGGAUGUUUAAGUCAGUUGUGAAAGUUUGCGGCUCAACCGUAAAAUUGCAGUUGAUACUGGAUAUCUUGAGUGCAGUUGAGGCAGGCGGAAUUCGUGGUGUAGCGGUGAAAUGCUUAGAUAUCACGAAGAACUCCGAUUGCGAAGGCAGCCUGCUAAGCUGCAACUGACAUUGAGGCUCGAAAGUGUGGGUAUCAAACAGGAUUAGAUACCCUGGUAGUCCACACGGUAAACGAUGAAUACUCGCUGUUUGCGAUAUACAGCAAGCGGCCAAGCGAAAGCGUUAAGUAUUCCACCUGGGGAGUACGCCGGCAACGGUGAAACUCAAAGGAAUUGACGGGGGUCCGCACAAGCGGAGGAACAUGUGGUUUAAUUCGAUGAUACGCGAGGAACCUUACCCGGGCUUAAAUUGCAGAUGAAUUACGGUGAAAGCCGUAAGCCGCAAGGCAUCUGUGAAGGUGCUGCAUGGUUGUCGUCAGCUCGUGCCGUGAGGUGUCGGCUUAAGUGCCAUAACGAGCGCAACCCUUGUUGUCAGUUACUAACAGGUUCCGCUGAGGACUCUGACAAGACUGCCAUCGUAAGAUGUGAGGAAGGUGGGGAUGACGUCAAAUCAGCACGGCCCUUACGUCCGGGGCUACACACGUGUUACAAUGGGGGGUACAGAGGGCCGCUACCACGCGAGUGGAUGCCAAUCCCCAAAACCUCUCUCAGUUCGGACUGGAGUCCGCAACCCGACUCCACGAAGCUGGAUUCGCUAGUAAUCGCGCAUCAGCCACGGCGCGGUGAAUACGUUCCCGGGCCUUGUACACACCGCCCGUCAAGCCAUGGGAGCCGGGGGUACCUGAAGUGCGUAACCGCGAGGAGCGCCCUAGGGUAAAACUGGUGACUGGGGCUAA
rnacentral:rRNA from 1 species